rnacentral:rRNA from 1 species
CAGUCGCCGCGGUAAAACGUAGGGUGCAAGCGUUAAUCGGAAUUACUGGGCGUAAAGCGUGCGCAGGCGGUCCGCUAAGACAGAUGUGAAAUCCCCGGGCUUAACCUGGGAACUGCAUUUGUGACUGGCGGGCUAGAGUAUGGCAGAGGGGGGUAGAAUUCCACGUGUAGCAGUGAAAUGCGUAGAGAUGUGGAGGAAUACCGAUGGCGAAGGCAGCCCCCUGGGCCAAUACUGACGCUCAUGCACGAAAGCGUGGGGAGCAAACAGGAUUAGAUACCCCUGUAGUCCCUGUCUCUUAUAC